rnacentral:rRNA from 1 species
UACGUAGGUGGCAAGCGUUGUCCGGAUUUACUGGGCGUAAAGGAUGCGUAGGCGGACAUUUAAGUCAGAUGUGAAAUACCCGAGCUUAACUUGGGUGCUGCAUUUGAAACUGGGUGUCUAGAGUGCAGGAGAGGUAAGUGGAAUUCCUAGUGUAGCGGUGAAAUGCGUAGAGAUUAGGAAGAACACCAGUGGGCGAAGGCGGCCAGCUGGGCC